rnacentral:rRNA from 1 species
ACGGGAGGCAGCAGUGAGGAAUAUUGGUCAAUGGGCGGAAGCCUGAACCAGCCAUCUCGCGUGCAGGACUACGGCCCUACGGGUCUUAAACUGCUUUUAUGGGGGGAUAAAGUCGGGCAUUCGUGCCCGUUUGCAGGUACCCCAUGAAUAAGGAUCGGCUAACUCCGUGCCAGCAGCCGCGGUAAUACGGAGGAUCCGAGCGUUAUCCGGAUUUAUUGGGUUUAAAGGGUGCGCAGGCGGCCUGUCAAGUCAGUGGUAAAAUCGUGGGGCUCAACCCCAUCCUGCCAUUGAUACUGCCGGGCUUGAUUGCGGUUGAGGUUGGCGGAAUUCGUUGUGUAGCGGUGAAAUGCAUAGAUAUGACGAAGAACUCCGAUUGCGUAGGCAGCUGACCAAGCCGUAAAUGACGCUCAUGCACGAAAGUGCGGGGAUCGAACAGGAUUAGAUACCCUGGUA